rnacentral:rRNA from 1 species
UACGGGGGGGGCAAGCGUUGUUCGGAAUUACUGGGCGUAAAGGGCUCGUAGGUGGCCAACUAAGUCAGACGUGAAAUCCCUCGGCUUAACCGGGGAACUGCGUCUGAUACUGGAUGGCUUGAGUUCGGGAGAGGGAUGCGGAAUUCCAGGUGUAGCGGUGAAAUGCGUAGAUAUCUGGAGGAACACCGGUGGCGAAGGCGGUGAGCUGGGCAGUUGCUGACACUGAGGCGCGACAGCGUGGGGAGCAAACAGG